GAGUUUGAUCCUGGCUCAGGAUGAACGCUAGCGGCAGGCUUAACACAUGCAAGUCGAGGGACGCAGCAAUGCAGACCGGCAAACGGGUGCGGAACACGUACAGAAUCUACCUUUAUCUGGGGUAUAGCCCGAAGAAAUUCGGAUUAAUCCCCCAUAAGAUAUUAGAAUGGCAUCAUUCAGAUAUUAAAGAUCCGUCGGAUAGAGAUGACUGUGCGUCCCAUUAGCUAGUUGGUAGGGUAACGGCCUACCAAGGCGACGAUGGGUAGCUGGUGUGAGAGCACGACCAGCCACACGGGCACUGAGACACGGGCCCGACUCCUACGGGAGGCAGCAGUGAGGAAUAUUGGUCAAUGGGCGCAAGCCUGAACCAGCCAUGCCGCGUGAAGGAUGAAGGCGUUCUGCGUUGUAAACUUCUUUAUCUGGGAAGAAACCUCAGUUUUCUAAUUGAGCCGACGGUACCAGAGGAAUAAGCACCGGCUAACUCCGUGCCAGCCGCCGCAGUAAC
rnacentral:rRNA from 1 species